rnacentral:rRNA from 1 species
GACGAACGCUGGCGGCGUGCCUAAUACAUGCAAGUAGAACGCUGAAGGAGGAGCUUGCUUCUCCGGAUGAGUUGCGAACGGGUGAGUAACGCGUAGGUAACCUGCCUGGUAGCGGGGGAUAACUAUAGGAAACGAUAGCUAAUACCGCAUAAGAGUAGAUGUCGCAUGACAUUUGCUUAAAAGGUGCAACUGCACCACUACCAGAUGGACCUGCGUUGUAUUAGCUAGUUGGUGAGGUAACGGCUCACCAAGGCAACGAUACAUAGCCGACCUGAGAGGGUGAUCGGCCACACUGGGACUGAGACACGGCCCAGACUCCUACGGGAGGCAGCAGUAGGGAAUCUUCGGCAAUGGACGGAAGUCUGACCGAGCAACGCCGCGUGAGUGAAGAAGGUUUUCGGAUCGUAAAGCUCUGUUGUAAGAGAAGAACGAGUGUGAGAGUGGAAAGUUCACACUGUGACGGUAUCUUACCAGAAAGGGACGGCUAACUACGUG